rnacentral:rRNA from 1 species
ACGUAGGGGGCAAGCGUUGUCCGGAUUUAUUGGGCGUAAAGAGCUCGUAGGCGGCUCGGUAAGUCGGGUGUGAAACCUCCAGGCUCAACCUGGAGACGCCACCCGAUACUGCUGUGGCUAGAGUCCGGUAGGGGAGCGUGGAAUUCCUGGUGUAGCGGUGAAAUGCGCAGAUAUCAGGAGGAACACCAGCGGCGAAGGCGGCGCUCUGGGCCGGAACUGACGCUGAGGAGCGAAAGCGUGGGGAGCAAACAGG